UUCUCGUACGAUCACCGAAGUUAAGCAACGUCGAGCCUGGUCAUUAUCUAGAUGGGUGAUCGCUUGGGAAUAUCAAGUGCUGUAAG